CCGUAACGGUUGCUCUGAGAUGAUCCCCGUUCACAAGACAUUUCUGCUGACGGGGCACAACAAUCUUUGCCGGGAGGUGGCGAAGUGGCAACUGGCCUUCCGUUUUCGGAUGGUCCGUCACUCGGUUUUGCGGGUCGCAUUGACCGGCUCACAGGAAAACUGUCGACGCACAUAUUACGGCCAACGAACUGCUGAAGCUUGUGCCGCUGCAAAUCCGCCUGUUGUGCUUUGAGAAAGGAUAAGACUCGCAAGGCUUCUUCGUGUGUGUAAAGGUCUCCAUUCGGAGCCGUCUUCGUGGCAAAUGGUUCAUCAGACUGAGAGGUAGCUCGAGGCAUCGCUGGCGUUUUGGGCAAGGUGGGUCCACCUUUCCAGCUCUUCUCCACCUCCAUGUUUCCGUGACAGUUAAUUGCCGGGGAGCCUGUUCGCGUCGUUUGGUAAAUUUGCUCAUCCCAGCAUUUCUGUUUUGCGUCAUCCAGCAGAAUCGGUGCUACCGAAUGUUGAUCUAGUCUUCUCGACGCGUGUCGCUGCAACUCUGUUUCACCUGUUGCUUGCCAUUGCAAGCGCGGGGACAUGUCGUCUCGGUUUCGAAUUGAGUCUUUUUGUCGACGUUCGGGGGUUCUGUUGACUUUUGUUUCUGCACCCUGUUUAUCGGCGAGAGUUGCUGGGAGCUGAAACUGCUUCCACGUCUGGUUAGGUGCCAACUCAGUCGUCACAUCGUAUCUAUCGCACGUGAGCUUGUCGGAGAGAGAAGUGUUCAGAUAUUUAUCCGUAGGGCAACCGGCGAAUGCAGCCGCUGUGAAUUCAUCGGUACAGGAAGAAGGGUAGUACCCCGUUGCUGGCGGUGAUGCGGUGUGCACAUGGGAGUCCUUUGUUGUAACCAAAAACGAUCGUAAUGAUCCCACUAUCUUUCUUUCGAGUGGGAUACGGUGUCGGAACUGGUCUUCUGACGACUGCAGCUUCUCCAGGAUCUCUUCUAGCUCACUCUCUAACGUUUUAUGAAAGGAUUCCUGCUUGUGGCUCGUUUGCUGCCGUCGUAUGAUUCCAGUAGCUUCCGGAGUCGCUUCUCCACUUUGUCUUCCCAUUGAUGGGGUUCUCCUGAGAUGGUGAUCAGGGUUGUAACAAGCCAUAUGAUCCUCGGACUUCCCUUCCUUAGCCACACUGUGUACGGGGAAACACGACAUGUUUUGUUCUUCUGCGGGUCCUGUGUCUUCUCUGAACAGAGCCGCAGAUAUGUGUUGCCCCAGCCGACAUUCCCUUGUACCGUCUAGAGGCUUCGGAGCCGUAUUGCGGUUCUGCGGAAAUGUGCCCUGAAUCACGGUGGUCUUCUGCGCCUCGACAGUGUCUCGCGGUUGCGGUUUGUUGUGGCUUUCUGCCUGGAGCGUCCCAUGCUCUGUGUUGUCUGUGUGCUGCCGAGUCGCUCCUGGACCAAGCGAUUCAUCCUUGUGUCUCUCUCUGACGGUUGUGUCCUCACCAUUCAGCACAAGUACGUGUGCCUCUUGCCGCCGGAUGUUGCUCUCGUUACGCUGUACAGGUUUGACCCCAUCUAAAUCACUAAAGCUGUCUCCCUUCUCAUUUGCACGCGACAACUGCGAUACGCUUUGGCUUUCUGCUCCGUUCGCCAUUUCUACUGUAUGCACACAAACCAUUCUCUUUCUCAGCGGAGCUCCCUUCAGGAAAUCCAUGUCUGCAGAGCAGAAAGAGAACCAUGGAGUUUUUGUUUCCCUCGCUUCAGGGUGUUCUGUCGGUCCGUCGCUACGGUGGUGUUCCUCGUUUUCCGUUGGAAGACCGGCGUAAUUCGAAGACCCAGACGAAGAUCCUUUAUUCUCUAUGCGUUUGGCUGUCUUGCACUGGGGAACACAAAUGACUUUUGGGUCUCUUGCCGUUGUGUGAGAUACCGGGGUUGUUAUACUUUGUGCCUUUAGAAAGGGAACAGAGGGGCCGGAAUCAAUUUCAACACCGCUCGAUGAGGGCUUAGCAGCUUCCGGUAGACUUCUGACCACACCCCCGCUGUUCUGACAUCGUCCUGUACCAUGCGGAGCCAAAGGGAUGCACACUGCUCUGCCUGAUAGAGCUUGUUUGCCCAUAAGACGUGGCACUUUCGAUGUCUGGGCACAAAAAGAUUCCUGUGUGUGGCGGUAGCCCCUUUUUUUUGAAACAUGCUGCGAGGCAAGCGCACUCACAGCUCUUUCUCCUAUCGCAGUUUCACCGCCUGACCGCGUCUUCUGUGCCUCCUCGUCCUGUUUGUGCGAUAUCACAGCCCAUAUAGGCUUUGCUGUGCUCCUGUUGCGAUCGUCGGUUUCAGUGUCCUGUUCGAACCCGAGUCCGGUCCAAGGUGUAUUACAAAACGGGUUGCGGUUCCGGGAACCACUGCACUGGUGAAUUUGAGUAGUAUUUUGGGGAAAACGAGAUUCCGCCCGUUGUGUUUCUCUUCCCUCGACAAAACACAUGCUCUGCUCCAGCAAGGGAGCCG
rnacentral:lncRNA from 1 species